rnacentral:lncRNA from 1 species
CAUUUCUGAGACUGGAAAGGGCCUAACUAAUUGAAAUUGAAUUAAAAUAAAUGGAUUUUCUCUCUCUUACAAACAAAUAGCAUUUGAAAUUAGACACCUAAAUCCUCCUCUUCUUUCUCUCUAGAGGAAACUUGCAUCCAAAGACUGGUCAUUUGGAAAAUACAAAGGCCAGGCCCCCUUGCCUCAAUUUGGGACAACUCUAAAGGACCAGCUUGCUUCCACAGCUGAGGUCUUUGUUGUAUAGUCACACACAUGGGAUCUAAAAGUUGGAACACACCAAGAAAAGAACUUUGUAUUUGGAAGGGACGUGAUGACAAAUGGUGGGCUCUAAAUAAUUCCAAGCUUCCAUUCAUGGAAUUUGGGAUUGAUUAGGCCAAGGAGAUGGAACUAGCUCAAUGUCACCUCCCCUGAAAAGCUUUCCUUGGCUCUUCUCACUACCAUCAUUGUCUUGUUGACUUUCGAUACCUGGCGUGUCCAUUUAGGCUUUGGAUCAUAUGGAAUUCUGUGUGGCCCUGGAGAAUCCACUUGAUCACGUGGAUCUGAGUCUUCUCUACCAAAUAAAAUGCUACAUUCCUUGAAGGUACAAAACCUGUCUCAGUCCAUCACAGUACCUAGCAAAGUUCCACGCACAAAGUAGGUAUUCAAUAAAUUCAGUGGUCAUUAUAUAAAAGAAACUCUCCAAGUUAGAAGUGAAUACAUAUUUUGUACCUAUGGAGAGGCAACAUAGCAAGAGAGCCCAAGAGCACAGAUUCUGAGGUCAGACUCCCUGGGCUUGAAUCGUUACCCCUCAACUUCCUAACUGUGCCUCAGUUUCCUCAUCUGUAAUUGCUGAUAACAGAAGCAACUACCUCAUGGGGUUCUUAUAAGAAUGAAUUGAGGUUAUAAAUGUAAAGCACUCUAUCUAUAUAACAGAAUGCCAUUUGGCAAUCAAAAGGAACAAACAGAAACAUUACUCAGUGAAAGAAGCCAGUCACAAAAGAUCACAUAUUAUAUGAUUCAAUUUAUAUCAGCUGUCCAGAAAAGACAAAUUAAUAGGGAGAGCAAGUAAAUUAAUGGUUGUCUGGGGCUGGGGGUGUGAUUUGGAAUUAACUGUAAAUGGGCAUAAGAGGUGACAGAAUCAGAUUGUGAAGAUGGUAGCAUUUCUCUGUAAAUUCACUAAAAAAAAAAUCAUUGAAUGGUGCAUUU